rnacentral:lncRNA from 1 species
GUCAAUAUCUAAAUGUUUUGCUAUAAUCAAGGCAUGUGACGUCUUUUAAUUUUUAAGGCAUCUAUCCUAUCGAACAUGAAAUAAAAGGUACGACCGAUACAGUCAAGUCUUUCUUUAUAUCGCGACUUGCAAUUCAAAAUGGACCAUGUAGGUAAAUUGAGAACUAAACAUUACCACAUUGUGAACUUUUCGAUUCUAUUACUUAACAAUCCAGCAGCACCUUUAUAUGGACAAUUUUCGUCCCGAUCCGAUUGAUACGAUAUUGAAGAGCUUGCAAAUUCUAUCAAGAAUUCCUUGAUUAAGGGUUUCUGCCAAC